rnacentral:rRNA from 1 species
AGGACGAACGCUGGCGGCGUGCUUAACACAUGCAAGUCGAGCGGAAAGGCCCUUCGGGGUACUCGAGCGGCGAACGGGUGAGUAACACGUGAGUAAUCUGCCCCUAGCUCUGGGAUAGCUCCGGGAAACCGGGAUUAAUACCAGAUAUUACCACUUUAGACAUCUCUUGUGGUGGAAAGAAUUUCGGCUAGGGAUGAACUCGCGGCCUAUCAGCUUGUUGGUGAGGUAACGGCUCACCAAGGCGACGACGGGUA